CAGUAGCCGCGGUAAUACGUAGGUGGCAAGCGUUGUCCGGAAUUAUUGGGCGUAAAGCGCGCGCAGGCGGAUCAGUCAGUCUGUCUUAAAAGUUCGGGGCUUAACCCCGUGAUGGGAUGGAAACUGCUGAUCUAGAGUAUCGGAGAGGAAAGUGGAAUUCCUAGUGUAGCGGUGAAAUGCGUAGAUAUUAGGAAGAACACCAGUGGCGAAGGCGACUUUCUGGACGAAAACUGACGCUGAGGCGCGAAAGCCAGGGGAGCGAACGGGAUUAGAGACCCCAGUAGUCCCUGUCUCUUAUACA
rnacentral:rRNA from 1 species